UCCAGUGAUUCAGCCACAUGUGAUAGAUGACCAAGUGACUGCUUUCUUGGAGUCCGCACACCAGUGGAAGACUCUCAAAGUGGUUGUGACCGACUUGAUCAAACUCUAGGCUUCCUGAACUGGAAUGAAAUGCAGAUAACUCUUUAGAAAACUUUUGUAGGAAAAGCGCCUCGUGUGAUCUGGAACAAAGACGUUUUAUAAUCAGAUUUAUCAAGCUGCGAAGAGGGAGUUUUAGUGAACGGAAGCAGCAGCAUUCUGUCACCAGGAAAUACUCCUUUAUCCAGAAUUGGUAAGUGAAAAGUGGCAUUGCUCCCUAAUAGAUAUCAUAUGC
rnacentral:lncRNA from 1 species